GAUGAACGCUAGCGGCAGGCCUAACACAUGCAAGUCGCGGGGUAGAGGCUUUCGGGCCUUGAGACCGGCGCACUGGUGCGUAACGCGUAUGCAAUCUGCCUUGUACUGGGGGAUAGCCCAGAGUAAUUUGGAUUAAUAGCCCAUAGUAUUUUCGGUUUGCAUCAACUGACUAUUAAAGUCUUUCGGUACCAGUUGUGCAUGCGUCCCAUUAGCUAGUUGGUAUGGUAACGGCAUACCAAGGCUACGAUGGGUAGGGGUCCUGAGAGGGAGAUCCCCCACACUGGUACUGAGACACGGACCAGACUCCUACGGGAGGCAGCAGUGAGGAAUAUUGGUCAAUGGUCGCAAGACUGAACCAGCCAUGCCGCGUGCAGGAUGAAGCAUCUAUGGUGUGUAAACUGCUUUUGUACGGGAAGAAACACUGCUACGUGUAGCAGCUUGACGGUACCGUAAGAAUAAGGAUCGGCUAACUCCGUGCCAGCCGCCGCAGUAACAC
rnacentral:rRNA from 1 species